rnacentral:tRNA from 1 species
UAGCUCAGGGGUAGAGCACUCGCCUUGUAAGCGAAAGGUCGUCGGUUCUUCUUCCCCCCGGGGAUGGAUACAUAGAAAGGCUUGGGACGGCCCAAGGCCGGUG